ACACAGCAGUGUGUGUAUGUAUCUAUCUAUAUAUAUAUAUAUAUAUAUAUAUAUAUAUAGAUAGAUACAUACACACACGCGCGUUGCGUGU